rnacentral:rRNA from 1 species
AGAAUGAACGCUGGCGGCAUGCCUAACACAUGCAAGUCGAACGAAGGCUUCGGCCUUAGUGGCGCACGGGUGCGUAACGCGUGGGAAUCUGCCCUCAGGUUCGGAAUAACAGCGAGAAAUUGCUGCUAAUACCGGAUGAUAUCGCGAGAUCAAAGAUUUAUCGCCUGAGGAUGAGCCCGCGUAGGAUUAGCUAGUUGGUGUGGUAAAGGCGCACCAAGGCGACGAUCCUUAGCUGGUCUGAGAGGAUGAUCAGCCACACUGGGACUGAGACACGGCCCAGACUCCUACGGGAGGCAGCAGUGGGGGAAUAUUGGACAAUGGGCGAAAGCCUGAUCCAGCAAUGCCGCGUGAGUGAUGAAGGCCUUAGGGUUGUAAAGCUCUUUUACCCGGGAUGAUAAUGACAGUACCGGGAGAAUAAGCUCCGGCUAACUCCGCGCCAGCAGCCGC